rnacentral:misc_RNA from 1 species
GGCCAUACAGGUCAAAAAAUAGUAUGAAAGAUAUUGCUGUCCAAUCAUUACACAAUAGAAAAUCCAAAGUAACAUAACUAUCACUCUUUUGAAAAAGCCCUCUUCAUUUUUACACUCACCAAAAACCCUUUUUUUCCCCUUUCUAUUCGUAAUGCAAAUAGACUUACUACAAAAAUAAUACCUUCAUCCAGUUGGAGACCCCACA